UGGGGAAUAUUGCACAAUGGGCGCAAGCCUGAUGCAGCCAUGCCGCGUGUGUGAAGAAGGCCUCGGGUUGUAAAGCACUUUCAGCGAGGAGGAAGGUGGUGAGCUUAAUACGCUCAUCAAUUGACGUUACUCGCAGAAGAAGCACCGGCUAACUCCGUGCCAGCAGCCGCGGUAAUACGGAGGGUGCAAGCGUUAAUCGGAAUUACUGGGCGUAAAGCGCACGCAGGCGGUUUGUUAAGUCAGAUGUGAAAUCCCCGGGCUCAACCUGGGAACUGCAUUUGAAACUGGCAAGCUAGAGUCUCGUAGAGGGAGGUAGAAUUCCAGGUGUAGCGGUGAAAUGCGUAGAGAUCUGGAGGAAUACCGGUGGCGAAGGCGGCCCCCCUGGACGAAGACUGACGCUCAGGUGCG
rnacentral:rRNA from 1 species